rnacentral:tRNA from 1 species
GGGGUGGUGGUCUAGCCCGGCCAUGAUAUCUCGCUUACACCGAGAUGAUCGCUGGUUCAAAUCCGGCCCACCCCACCA